ACGGCACUUCCUCAGGCUUCCACCUCAGCAUCAGCAGACCUCAUAAUGUAUCUCUCUGGCUCACUGCUCUGUAGUGUGCAACCUAGAAUGCCACAGUCGCUACAGAACACAUUCCAGGUGACACCAAAAAGGUUGUGUCUGUGAUGAUGAACUGGAGGUUUCAUCUCAAUUACCAAAUGCCUUAGAGCAAAUUUCACCUGUUAAGCGAUUGUGAGCGAGACUGGCUUUGUCCAGUUUCCAGGACUCCUAAUUCUACACAAGGCCAUGGCUUUGUAAUUCCAGGAACUCUGUGCUGUCAGCUGAGGGGUGCCUCAGAGGAGGUGUUGUUCAAAGUGCUGUGGUUUCUGUGUACUGGGGACUGAGAGGCAGGAUGGCUGAGCUGGGUGAAGCAAGGGGAGGUUUGGAGGAAGGUAGCCACGUGUAGACAAUACCUUCCCUCCUUAGCUCUCUUCAGUUCUCAUCACAAAACAAAUUCAAGACAGGGAACUGCUUUUGCCAAGACCCCCAGGCACACAAGGAAAAUAAUAGGCCAUAGGUUGGAUCUAAUGACAUGAAAAUGGCAUGACAUGAUACUUCCAUGAUCAGCUAUAAUGAUGCAGUAAGAAGACGAUAUGAAAAAACUUGGAGAUUGAUAGCCAUGGAUAUAGCAAGAAGAGCAGCCUGAAGCAGAUCCUCCCACAGCGGCCCUCAGAAGGAAGCAACCCUGCCAGCACUUUGACUGUGGACUUCAGAUCUCCAGAACUUGGACAAUAAACCUUUGUUGUUUAAGCCAUGGAGUCUGCAGCCCUUGUUACUAUCUCCUGGGUUAAACUAACAUACCAACACCAGCCUGCCUUCAGUGGGAAAAGAGAGGUUCUUUCAGGACUGAAUACAAAUUUUUGUGAUAUAACUUGCUGGAGAUGUUGCAGAAACAGAAAGUAAAAUCCAGAAAUUGUAGCUCCAUAUAUUUAGAAAUAAAAUUUCUACUUUGACACACACACCCUCCCACCCCCACUUUUUCUUCCAGUUCAUCUGGCAGCAUGUAUGUUUUCACAAUGUUUCACUCAGAUUGUUCAGUGUUCGGAGAAAACCACCCUCUGGAAGGCUGACAGGAAGGAAGGCAGAAGCUACCCUAGUCAGCCCCGACUCUUACCUUGGCGGUUUUAACGGCAGCCCCAUAGCCCGUCGAAAACCCACAGCCAAUGAGGCAGGCUCUCUCGGGAGGAGCCGCGCCGUCGAUCUUAGCUACCGAAGACUCGUCCAGCACCGUGUACUCCGAGAAGGUGCUAGUGUUCAUGAAGUGCUGCACCGGUUUGCCCUUGCACGUGAACCUGGUGGUGCCAUCGGCCAGUACUCCACGGCCUGUCAGACUGUUCGAUACAGCAAACGCACACAUUACUUAAGUCAACUCAGAAGCUAUCGCGGGGAAACCGAGGGACAGAGUGAAAAAUGGCACCUACUCGCUCCGAAUGCAGAGAUUGCCCUCGGGGUUACGGCAGGCAUUGCAUUCUCUACACUGUGGUAGGAAGAGGGGGAUGACUUGGUCACCUAGAAGGAAAAGUAGCGCGAUGGGAGAUGUCAUUUGUUUGCUUUAAGCUACGAAGUAAGGCAGUGUGGGGGCUCAUGCCUAAAAUCCUAGAACAGUGGUGACUGACCCGGGAAGAUUGCCAAGCCAGUCUGGGCUCUGUGGUGAGUUUCAGACCAGCCAUGGAAACAUUAAGACCGCUCUCCUUGUGUCUCCGUAAGCUGGGUUGCGUCUCUACCAACCCCCAGUGAGGAUGUGCUGCCCCCUUCCAUAGCAUAACCCAGGCCUCCGUACCUGGUCUCACUGUAGUGACGCCUUCUCCCACACUCUCUACAACCCCAACGGCUUCAUGGCCCACGAUCACUGGAAACUUGGACACCAUUGCUCCUUUUAUCACAUGGUCAUCGGUGCGACAGAUGCCUGUGGCCAAAAUCUGUUCAAACAAACAAUAACAAUAAGCAGCAAGCGGAUCAUUUUACAAUGGGAUGUUAUUUAACUUGCGUUCUUUAACUCUGUAUCAUUUUCCCACAUUAGAGUGUUGAUGCUAAGACAGUCUGAGCCUAAAUAAGCAUCAGGCUAAUUUCUCUUGCUUCGGGGACGUACAACAUUGCUGCUUCCCUUCCUGCUUGGAUAUUGGUUCUUUUCUACAGGUAAGAGGUCAGAUUAGCAUCCAAGUCUGCUCAACAGAAGCAUCUGAACCAAAGGGUUGUCCAAAAGUGGGGGUUCCUGUAGGAAGUUAUUGCUUCUCAGGCACAAAUGAGUCCCUGGAGAAAAUCCUCUAGGUAGGCCUGGUGACACAAGUCUGCAAUCCCAGCUAUUUGGAAGACAGAGGCAAGAGGAACACACAGUUCACAUCCUGGUCAGGCUGCUUCAAAGUGAGUUCAAGGUCAGCCCGUGUGACUUAGACCCUGUCUCCAAGCAAGAGGUAAAAACAUGGCUAGAGAUAUAGUUCCUUGCCAGAGUGUUUGUCUGGCAUGCAUGAUGCCCAAGGUUCUGUUUCUUGUACCACAUUAACAAAUAUACACAUACAUGCAUAAAUACGUGUCCCAGUACACUGUGAAUCCCAGAAGAUUGUAAAACAAUCUUUGGUCGUGCUAUUGAUUUUCUAUCAAACACUACAUCAGUAAAAAUUCAACAGAUUUUCUCUUUAAUAAGCUAGAUUAGCAUUGUUGUUCUUAAUGGACAAUAAAUUGGUGAAUUUCACAGCCAGCUUGGCCGCUCCCCUAACAAUAUGCAUGAAUUGGUUGGAGGAUUAGUUGACAAACGUAUUUUUAAGAAUCUAACCUCUGGGAUGGAGAUAUGGUCUCAGCAGUUAGUUAAGAGCACUGGCUGCUGUUCCAGAGGAUCUGGGUUUGAUUCCCAGUACCUACAUGGCAUCUCACAAUGGCUCUGUAACUUCACUUCCAGGGAAUCCAAUGCCCUUUUCUGGCCUUCUCCAGCACUAAGAACACAUAUGGUGAACAGACAUGCAUGCAGAUAAAUACCUUCUGCUGUGGGCCACAAGCAUUAUACUGUGAAGUAUAGCUGACAGAUCAGUAGACUAACUCACAGGAGUACAAUCUAAAGAGGAACCCGAUUUACAGAGCUUCAGAAACAUCUGUCUUUUGAGAAGCCUCUGUCACUUCUGUAAACCCUUAUGGAGCCAUAGCGCCCCUCUGUUUCCAUAGUGGAAUUCAUCCCAAAAUAUCCUUGCAAUGUAUAAAUUAUUCAUUGAGUAUAACUUCUUUCUGUACUGGCAACUGGAUGACUUUUCAUUUGGCCUUAUAAUCUUGAUAUAUAAAAUAGGCACUGGGUACCUUGGAUUCUGGAAAAGGCCUCGGAGAAAGCAAAUAUGUCUCAUUCAGGCAUCGACAGAAACAAAGCCAUGGCUUGGCCUGGAGGUUGAAAAUGCCAGGCUCUGGAUCUUAUACUACCACAGUUUCCCCUUUGAUCUAGCCACCUUAGCUGUUGUCUCUGGGGCUGAGAGAUUCCAUUGCCCUUAAUCAGCUAGCAUUUGACCAUCCAUUUUCCUUCUGAAGUUUAUACUGGUUGCCAUGGCUACCGGAAGUGCUGUGUUCCCAGCCAUCACUGGAACAGAAGUACUUAGAGAGUGCACAACACUGUAGCAUUUUUCUUCCUUUAUUCUCUACAUUUCUAAUUACAAACUCAUUGCAUAAUUAGUCACACUUAAGAAAUGUAGUUAGUGCAUAAACCACUCUUUUUCCUCUUCUUAGAAUUCUGUACUGAUUAAAAGUUCCAUGCUUAAUUGGGAAUUGUUGAUUAUGUCUGUGUGGAUAUAUAAACUGGAAACUCUGUGGGGAUUGGGGGGGGGAUCAAAAGAUAUCACCAGGAGGACAUUGAAAAAGCAUUGGGAGAACAUAGGGAAAAGGCUGGGACAUGAAAAAACGACGUAUGUGAGUUGAUUUGUUGACCCUCAGACCUCUUCUAGUCAGUUUUAACUUGUUAUAGCUUUCCUUCUGAAUCCUGAGAGGUUUAAGGGGGCUGGCACCCCAAGGUAAACCUCUAUAGCCCUCUACACAUAAAACAGUAAAUACGUAACAGUCUAACAGGCAGCCAGCCUCACAACAGUGACUUUCUAUAUGUAAAUGAGAUCAUGUUUCAGGUUUAUGUGUCCCAAACCCUGUUCUUACCUUAACACGAACUUCCUUAGCCUUUGGUGGGGCCACUUCUAUUUCCUCGAUGGAGAAGGGCUGGUUCAUUCCCCACAGCACAGCUGCUUUGCACUUAAUAACCUAAGAAGUCAAGAGUCAUAACAGGUGUUAAUCAUACACACAGACUCCCUGAGUCAGAAGUAUCACGGAAGAUCACAUCUAACACUCUGAUUUUUUAAUGAAUGCUUUCCUUCAAAGACAGAAUUUGAAGUCUUCCAGAUCAUCUUGUGUAGACCUUUGUCUGAUGUAAUGGCCUGAAAAAUGCAGGCCAGAGACGUGGAAUGACAGGCCCUUAACACACAGCACAUAAGGUCAGGGCAGGAAUUCAAGAUUCUCAGUUCCUUCUCCAGCAACAUGUCUGCCCACACAUUGUCACAUCCUGCCAUGAAGAUAAUGGACUGAAACUACUUCAAGAUGUUGGAGGUGCCAGAGCCAUAGGAUAUCUGUUGAGGAAACUUGCUAACAGGUAGUGGGAACAGCCCAAGAGAAAGAACUGUGUUGCUGUCAACAAAGCUAAAAGGAGUUGGAGAUCUGAAGAGUGUUUUGACAUCAGACACAGCGAUGCUUUGGUCCAGUAUCUCCUCACUAUUCUCCCUUUACUACAUUUUGGAAUGUACUACACUUUGGAAUGGUAAUGCUGGAGUUAGGAGAUGCUGCCUGGAGUCCCUGAAUUCUUCGUGACUGGGGAUGUUAUGAUAGUGGCUGUGAGUCACACGAUGAAGGCCACAGAGCUGGUUGUAUGGAGUUGCCACUAACUGAAGAUUCAUUUCAACUCUAAGUUCUAUUUAUUUCUAUGAGAAAAGUGGGCCACAUUUUAUCCUGCAGCUGCACAAGAGAUCCUGGACCCAUUAGACUCCAGAAAUGAGUUGAGUACAUGCGGCUGAUCCUAUGGAUGUCUCCUUGUGGAAACCGUUUGCUCUCUAGAGCAAAUGAAUGACUGGCUUGAAGUUAAAUCAUGAAUAUGUCCAUAUAAACCAUAGUUUUCUUUUUCCCUUUGCUGCCUUCUAGAACUUUCUGCAUGUGGUUUUCAAUCAAAUCCUGCUGCUUGCUAUUGGCCUUCUGACACAAUUUCCCCAUGUUUCCCCCAUCUAUGCCCACACAACAGCCUCGCCUUUUUCAAGGAACAGCCUUGAACAUUUAGUUACUCUGCUGGAUUCAAAGGUCACAGAAGUAGCCCCCCCACCCUUAUUAGCUCAAGAGAAUAAGAAAGCUGAAAUGCUUCACUUACUUUUCCAGCAGUGCCCAUUCUGGCUCUCUUGGGUUUGGGGUCUGCAAACUGGGUUGCUUUCUAGUGAUGCUCAGUUCACUCUGCCAUGAAUAACAGCAUCUGCUGCCUUUAA